CUGCACUGAUCAGUGCUGAUCUGAUCUGCACUGAUUUGUGCAGAUCAGAUCAGCACAGAUCAGUGCAGAACAGAUCAGCACAGAUCAGUGCUGAUCUGAUCAGCACUGAUCUAUGCUGAUCAGAUCU